rnacentral:tRNA from 1 species
AAUCUUAUAUUCAAUAAUAUGAUAUUAGACUGCAAUUCUAAAGGAAUAAAAUUUAAUUUAUUAAGAUUU